CGCCACUGUGCUGUUGCGUCUUGCGCAGCGCAGACACCUCCACUCUGGAUUGAAACGAAAAAGCUCGCGAUCCAACUUAGAAAUAAUGUUUCAUUCAAGAUAAUGCUCGUGGUUUAGGAGGUUGUGACCUGGCUUGCGUCAUUUUAAGACUUCUAUCAUCUGUUUUCAAAACCCAAGGAGGACCUCAUUUUCUGUGUGAUAGUUCCUCAUGCUUUGCCAGCCACUGGGUCUUUAAGGAAGCUUGCCAAGAGUUCCCGGCUGGGAAGGACAGUUCGAGUUCAUCAUAGACAAUGAGCUGGCACCACAUUUUAAGUGACUCACCAACCUGGUUGCCCACUUCAAAAUGUCAAGAACCAUACUAUCUAACUGAAAGAACUGUGUUUUAGCAAAGCGUAAUUGGAUCUCCUGGCAGGAUCAUCUCAAACUGUGUCUCCGACCUUGCCUUUCAGUGGCUGUUUUGAGCACAAGAGGAGAAAGGAAAUGAUUCCUGAAUUAUUUCUUGUUUUUAAAAAUUAAGAUUAAUUAAUACUUGGUUUUAUGUUCAUUCCAUUGUAGGAACUUAAUGAUUAUUACAAAACAGUCAAAAUAGGUCAUAGCAAAAUGAACAUUUAAGAUUAGGUUAAAACAUUCCUCUGAAAUUUUAGUAUUCACUUUUGAAGUGUCAAUUACUAUAUUUUUGUAAUUUCUCAUUUUUUUCUUGGCUUAGAGUCAAGAUGAAAAAUGAUAUUUGAAUCAAAGACAUUGUUUUGUUAUAUAGCCACUCUGUAAAAUGCAAAUCCACCCUCCCCUCACCAAUGCUUCACUAUUUGUGCACACACACACACACAGACAUACACAGAACCAGCACCCAAAUGGUAGAGGAGGUCCUUUUGAGACUUCUAGGACCUGGAUCAUGUAAGCAGUAGAUGAGAAAAUGAAGUAAGAGGUAUAGAGCAAUAACAAUAAAAGUCAAUGAUUUCAUUUUACAAAAAAGUUAUUAUGUAGUACUCAGAUAUUUUUAAAAGCCAGUAUUAUUAUGACUAAAGUAUAUUAUACUUCUAAAUUAUUAUGAUUCUCAUCUAAUUUCAAGCCACACAUAGGAGCCAUUUGAAAGCAUUUUGUAUUACAACCUAUCAACAAAAAUCAACUAAUAGUUUUAUAAUGUGCAUAGGUUUACCCCAUGGGGAAUUAAAAUUUUUAUCUGCAAGUA